GCGGGGGACCUUCGGGCCUCGCGCUAUCAGAUGAGCCUGCGUAGGAUUAGCUAGUUGGUGAGGUAAAGGCUCACCAAGGCGACGAUCCUUAGCUGGUCUGAGAGGAUGAUCAGCCACACUGGGACUGAGACACGGCCCAGACUCCUACGGGAGGCAGCAGUGGGGAAUAUUGCGCAAUGGGGGCAACCCUGACGCAGCCAUGCCGCGUGUGUGAAGAAGGCCUUCGGGUUGUAAAGCACUUUAAGUGGGGAGAAAAGGGUAGGCGUUAAUAGCGUUUACCUGUGAUGUUACCCACAGAAUAAGCACCGGCUAACUCCGUGCCAGCAGCCGCGGUAAUACGGAGGGUGCGAGCGUUAAUCGGAAUUACUGGGCGUAAAGCGCGCGUAGGCGGUUUGUUAAGUCAGCUUGUGAAAGCCCCGGGCUUCAACCUGGGAACUGCAGUUUGAUACUGGCCGACUAGAAGUACGAGAAAAGGGAGGUAGAAAUUUCCAUUGUGUAAC
rnacentral:rRNA from 1 species